GUUCUUGAUCGGAGCAAAGGCCUAAAGGCCUAAAAAUUUUUGAACAUUUUUGUAGACGCGCUGGGCUGAGGUUUCCAUGCCUCUUCCACGCGGUCUACACCGUGUGUUCUAAAAGCGAUAAAGCCCCUUUAAAGACUUUGUGUAAUGGUGUUGGAGCCUACCCAAACACGCCCUGCAGAUGCAAUCUCUCCGGCACCAUGUGAAGAUGCUAACAAACGGCACCGAUUCAUGCUCUAAACAUAAACCCUAACCUUCACAUUGCUGCAUCUGUAAGUAUCAUCUUCGUAUCUAAUCGUAAUUUAUUUAUGUUUGUUUCAUGGUUACACAUAUUUUCUCAUUCAAUAUUGUUGGAUAGAUUGGUAUUAACAUAGAAUCCGGUACAUCUAGUUUCUGAUUUUUUAGAAAGAUAUUGCACACAAUAUUGCAAGAAACACUGCAAUUUUACAGCAAUUAUUAUAUGUUUUGGCUUGGAACAAAUGGAUUUUACACACUAUAAAGUAUGAUUUCAGUAGUUGCUCAUGACAAACAAGACUAUAAUAAAAAUCAUAUACAGUAGAGUAUGAUGAGUCUAGCAUACACUGUUAGUUAGGACCGGAAAUGAUGCAAUACGCACACACAUUAACGGUAAACUUUGUUGGAUCGUUCCGGUGACCCUAAACAGUCAGUAUGAGUAGUUCAUCAUCAUUUACAAAGGCGGAAUCAAUGCAAACAAUGUCAAACAGCUUGUUCCUUUUCAAGUCUUUUCUAUUACUGAUUUCCUGAGCUUUUACACGUUCAAAUGACAAACGGACAGCACCUCGACUCAGAACAUAUGACCUGAUUCCGCUCCAAAUGAACACACACAUCUCCUAUAUAUAGUGUUCCUGAUUCCGCUUGAAACAUCCCCAAGCGGAACCUGAUUUCGCUCCAAACACAUUCAAGCGAAAUCAACAUGUAAGUUCAAGCGGAAUUAUAAACAUCAGAUUUCGCUUGAAAUGACCUAGUGUCAUUUCAAGCGGAAUUACAUCAAAUUCACACUUUCUAGAUUUCCGUGCCCUGAUCUAUCUAGUUCUAGACAUAAGACUCGAUUAAGACGAAGUUAACAGACACUAGAUGCACCAACAAACUUAAAGAAAGCCGAACAUAGAUAUUUACGUGGUUCGGUUAGUGUGAUCUACGUCCAUGGUGUACAACUAGUGAUUCAUUCUAUUCAGGUGCUCAAGGAAUUACAAAGGCUCUACCAUCUAUUUAUGAUUACUAGAUUAGGGUUACAGACUUUGGGAACAAGAAACGUUAAUUUAGGUAGCCUGUCAAGUUAACCGAUUUGGAGUAUUAGGGCUGGCUGACCUUAGGAUGAAGCCUCCACAAAUCCCAACAGGCCAACAUACACCUUACGUAUAUGCGUCUAUCUGUAUGUAUGUGUGUACCUCUUUAUAACAACAGAGGCGUCCUGAGGAUUUAAGUGCCUCGGCCGAGCAAAGAAAAGGCCCUUUGGCCUAAUGAAUUAUAUAAGAUAUUUUUAAACGACGAUUAACCUUAGAGCAAUAAACAUAGCAAAAUACAGGGUUGCUAAAUUCACUGGUUUCUAAUGUGUCAAAUACCUUCAACACCAUAUAAAGUUCAUCAUCAUCAAUAUCCGAUCUUUAGUUUUUUUUUUACUUUUUAUUAUUAAUUACACUAGAUAGAUGUUUGGAUAACGGAUAUGGAUCAAAAUAAGACUAAUGAAUGUGCUGAGGAUACGUGAGAUCUUGGAUGAAAUCCUUGUGGAGGCAAAGGACCAAGCGGGAGAAUGAUAACUACAUUUGAAGAGGCAACAUCUUCAACGGUAUGUGUGAUUUCCUUUUUGAUAUUUACCAAAACGUUGAACCAUCCAAGGAAUAUUAUUGUGUUGACUUAGUAAAAGGUUAGUAAGAAUUUUCACUGGUUCACUAAACCUAGUGGGUUAGUAGGAAAUUGAAGGUUGGUGGAUUCAUCUAUUGACCUUGAGAAAGAGUUUGAUGCUGAUCUAAUGAAGGUUUUCCACUUAGGUCAAAGUACUACUUUUGGAAAGUGAUUUCAGUACACGCCUACACGAUCGGUUAUUUGAUUAUCACUAGGAAGUUCCCUAAUAUAUAGCAUAUAUAAUAUAUGUAUAUAUAGUAUAUAUAACAUAUGUUUCUAAUUUAUAAUUAUAUGGGUCCUAUUGGAUUGUAUGAAUGGUAUUACUAAUUGAUUUAUAGUCAUUUUACUUGAAAAUAUGAUUACAUGAUUCAUGAAAAUGAAAUAUAACAUAUUAUAUAAAAUUGAAAAAUAUUACAUGUUUUAUAUAAUUAAAAAAAUAUUAUAUAUACACAUAUACCGUUGGUUUUAAAAAGCGUGCCUGAGGCGCGAGGCGCACUCGCCCCAGCGCCUUAUGCAACCUGAGGCGCAGGCUGUACAGAAAGGUUAAUAUAUAAUCUCCUUGCGCGUCGCGUAUGUAAAGCCCGCUGCUUUUGCGCUUUGCGCCUAGGUUUUAGACCUCGUCACUUUUGUGCGCUUUGCGCCAUUUAAAACCAAGCGUAUAUCCAAAACCAAACUAUAAAAGCCGGUUAUAAAAAAGUUCACUACUGAACCAUUAUUUUCUCUAUUAGUUCAGUUAAUUUGGUUAUGAUUUAGUUAUUUGGUUUUUCUGCUCACUCCUAGCAUUAUAUUCAUGACAAAAUCAUAGUUUUUCGAUGGUUGAGUCAUGAUCGCAUUAAUGCUAUUUAAUAUCUCCCAAUCCUCUAUAAAUGACCUACCCCAAUUGCUUUGAGAUCAUCGAACCGGUGGUUGCUCCUACGUACAAAACCCUAAAAUCAAUGGCAGCAAAUGACCGAUCCCUGAUUGAGCUCCCAAAUCUCAAUCUGGAAGAUGUUCUUUCAAAGCUGCCAUUACCAUCUCUCAUUGCUUGUUGCGGUGUUUCCAAGUCCCUCUUGAAUCUCAUUAAAAAUGAUUCAGAUUUUGCACGAAUGCAUUUUGCAAAAUCAGAACCCCAAUUAAUGACUCAGAUUCAGAGGCACCCGGGUUCAAGUAUCUACUUGAUUGAUUUGGAUACUGAUACAACUUCGCGAGUUGAAGUUGAGCCUAAUUUCAACAUCCCGUUAGAUGGUUUUUAUAUAACACAAUCGUGUAACGGAUUACUUCUUUUGGAGAGAAUGAGCAAAGCUAAAGGUGUUCACCGGUGUAUGCUAUACAAUCCUGUUACAGGUGAAUGCACACUGCUUCCUGAAAUUAAACAUGUUUAUAUAGACGCUACGUUUGUGUUUCUUUACUGCCCGAAAACAAACCAGUUUGAAGUUGUCUGUUUGAAUCCAGAUUCAGAUGUUUCAUCUGAUUCAGAUCAUGAUCCCGAUACUGAUUCAGACCCAGAAGUUAAUUCUGAUUCGGAAAUGGUGUAUCCAGAAGAUGAUGUGAUGGGGGCGAUCUAUGUAACGGGGUCUGACUCAUGGGAGUCUCUUGGCAAAUUACCCUUUUCUCCUCACCAUCCAUGCCACUUGGAAAAAGCUGUUCAUUGGAUAUGCGUGGACGGUACCGUUCCAUAUUUCAUAGUUUUCUUCAAUUUCCAGGCCCGGCCCAGGUGGUGCUGGCUCAUCCAUAUGCAAAUGAUUUUUUAACCUUGGUUGUUCUUGGUAACCGUCUUUCAAUUUUUGACCGUCUUACAGAAGCAACAAAGUUUAAUGUUUGGGUAAUGAAGGAGUAUGGCGUGAAAGAUUCAUGGAGUAGAGAAUUUGUGAUCGACACCACUGUUUGGGGUGAGUACGACCUCCACUGGUGUUUUACGCCUGUGAUAUGCAGAAACAAUGGGGACGUAGUGAUGGUUAGUAUAUUUGGUUAUAUUUUAUUUUAUGACUUGUUAACAAAGAAGGGUAGAAUCGUAAAUCACCGGCGACUUUGGACUGCAAUGACGCAUACUCCUAGCUUAAUUUCAUUGAGGGAUGUUGUGAGAGGUACCAACUUGGAAGUGGUAAAUGUGGCACCAAGGGUUGCUGAUCCAGGGUUGAAUCUGGAGUUAGCAGCAACUUUCUCAGAGGUCGGACUACAAGUUGGACUGUUGCCUGCCGAUCCAACUACUCUUGCUUGGCAGAUUAAUUCUAGUAUGAAACAAAUAAGGUUUUUAAUCAUGGUAUGUCAAAUGUAAAGUCGAAUGAGACCAAAAUCGACAAUGUAUAACCUUUUAUGUUGUGGUACUAGUUUCAUGUUCAAAUGUUUUGAGGAAUUAUGUUUGGUUCUUCAUAUGUUGAUAGCAGUUUGGUUUUUAUCUUUA